rnacentral:rRNA from 1 species
CCAGACUCCUACGGGAGGCAGCAGUGGGGAAUAUUGCACAAUGGGGGAAACCCUGAUGCAGCGACGCCGCGUGAGCGAUGAAGUAUUUCGGUAUGUAAAGCUCUAUCAGCAGGGAAGAAGAUGACGGUACCUGACUAAGAAGCCCCGGCUAACUACGUGCCAGCAGCCGCGGUAAUACGUAGGGGGCAAGCGUUAUCCGGAUUUACUGGGUGUAAAGGGAGCGUAGACGGCGAUGCAAGCCAGAUGUGAAAGCCCGUGGCUUAACCGCGGAACGGCUUUGGAAACUGCGGAACUGGAGUGCUGGAGAGGCAAGCGGAAUUCCUAGUGUAGCGGUGAAAUGCGUAGAUAUUAGGAGGAACACCAGUGGCGAAGGCGGCUUGCUGGACAGUAACUGACGUUGAGGCUCGAAAGCGUGGGGAGCGAACAGGAUUAGAUACCCGCGUAC